AACGAACGCUGGCGGCAUGCCUAACACAUGCAAGUCGAACGAGACCUUCGGGUCUAGUGGCGCACGGGUGCGUAACGCGUGGGAACCUGCCUUUAGGUUCGGGAUAACUCAGAGAAAUUUGAGCUAAUACCGGAUGAUGUCUUCGGACCAAAGAUUUAUCGCCUUUAGAUGGGCCCGCGUUGGAUUAGCUAGUUGGUGGGGUAAAGGCCUACCAAGGCGACGAUCCAUAGCUGGUCUGAGAGGAUGAUCAGCCACACUGGGACUGAGACACGGCCCAGACUCCUACGGGAGGCAGCAGUGGGGAAUAUUGGACAAUGGGCGAAAGCCUGAUCCAGCAAUGCCGCGUGAGUGAUGAAGGCCUUAGGGUUGUAAAGCUCUUUUACCCGAGAUGAUAAUGACAGUAUCGGGAGAAUAAGCUCCGCUAACUCCGUG
rnacentral:rRNA from 1 species